CCUACGGGGGGCAGCAGUGAGGAAUAUUGGUCAAUGGACGAGAGUCUGAACCAGCCAAGUAGCGUGAAGGAUGAAUGCCCUAUGGGUUGUAAACUUCUUUUAUAUGGGAAUAAAAUGUUCCACGUGUGGGCUUUUGUAUGUACCAUAUGAAUAAGGAUCGGCUAACUCCGUGCCAGCAGCCGCGGUAAUACGGAGGAACCGAGCGUUAUCCGGAUUUAUUGGGUUUAAAGGGAGCGUAGGUGGAUUGUUAAGUCAGUUGUGAAAGUUUGCGGCUCAACCGUAAAAUUGCAGUUGAAACUGGCAGUCUUGAGUACAGUAGAGGUGGGCGGAAUUCGUGGUGUAGCGGUGAAAUGCUUAGAUAUCACGCAGAACUCCGAUUGCGAAGGCAGCUCACUGGACUGCAACUGACACUGAGGCUCGAAAGUGUGGGUAUCAAACAGGAUUAGAUACCCCAGUAGUC
rnacentral:rRNA from 1 species